GGCUACUGCUAUUGGGAUUCGACUAAGCCAUGCGAGUCUAUGGACUUCGGUCCAUGGCGGACGGCUCAGUAACACGUGGCUAACCUACCCUCAGGUGGGGCAUAACCUCGGGAAACUGAGGAUAAUACCCCAUAGGAAAAGAGGUUUGGAAUAAUCCUUUUCUGAAAGGAUAUCCGCCUGAGGAUGGGGCUGCGUCCGAUUAGGUAGUUGGUGGGGUAAUGGCCCACCAAGCCUACGAUCGGUACGGGCCUUGAGAGAGGGAGCCCGGAGAUGGGGACUGAGACACGGCCCCAGGCCCUACGGGGCGCAGCAGGCGCGAAACCUCCACAAUGCACGAAAGUGCGAUGGGGGAAUCCCAAGUGCCUAUGCACAGCAUAGGCUUUUCCCAAGUCUAAACAACUUGGGGAAUAAGGGCUGGGCAAGUCCGGUGCCAGCAGCCGCGGUAACACCGGCGGCCCGAGUGGUGGCCACUCUUAUUGGGCCUAAAGCGUCCGUAGCCGGUUCAGUAAGUCUCUGUUUAAAUCCUACGGCUUAACCGUAGGGCUGGCAGAGAUACUGCUGGACUUGGGACCGGGAGAGGAAGAGGGCACUUCGGGGGUAGCGGUGAAAUGCGUUGAUCCCUGAGGGACCACCUAUGGCGAAGGCACUCUUCUGGAACGGGUCCGACGGUGAGGGACGAAAGCCAGGGGAGCGAACCGGAUUAGAUACCCGGGUAGUCCUGGCCGUAAACUUUGCGAACUAGGUGUCAUCUGGACCUCGGGUCCAGGUGGUGCCGAAGGGAAGCCAUUAAGUUCGCCGCCUGGGGAGUACGGUCGCAAGACUGAAACUUAAAGGAAUUGGCAGGGGAGCACCACAACGGGUGGAGCCUGCGGUUU
rnacentral:rRNA from 1 species